GCCGGGGUUGUCGCUGANUCUUGAAAGGGUCGUGCACACCUCGGUGCUCUCGCACAUAAUCCAUCUCACCCCCUUUGUGCAUCACCGCGUGGGGACCCCUUUUGGCUAGUUCUAAGGGGGGUCUUCACGUUUUUACAAAAAUGCAAUAUGUGUAGAAUGUCUUACUUUUUGCGAUCACACGCAAUCAAUACAACUUUCAACAACGGAUCUCUUGGCUCUCGCAUCGAUGAAGAACGCAGCGAAAUGCGAUACGUAAUGUGAAUUGCAGAAUUCAGUGAAUCAUCGAAUCUUUGAACGCACCUUGCGCCCUUUGGCAUUCCGAAGGGCACACCCGUUUGAGUGUCGUGACAUCCUCAAACCUUCUUGGUUUCUUGACCAGAAAGGCUUUGGACUUUGGAGGUUUUUGCUGGCCUCCCUUUGUUGGAGCCAGCUCCUCUGAAAUAAAUUAGUGGGGUCUACUUUGCCGAUCCUUGACGUGAUAAGAUGUUUUCUACGUCUCGGGUUUCGCACUGUUCCCGCUCCUAACCGUCUCACAGAAGACAAAUGGUCAAGUGAUUGCCACUUGACCCACGAACCUUGACCUCAAAUCGGGUGAGACUACCCGCUGAACUUAAGCAUAUCAAUAANGCGGAG
rnacentral:rRNA from 1 species